rnacentral:rRNA from 1 species
GACGAACGCUGGCGGCAUGCUUAACACAUGCAAGUCGAACGAGAAUCUGUGGAUCGAGGAUUCGUCCAAGAGAAGCAGAGGACAGUGGCGGACGGGUGAGUAACGCGUGAGGAACCUGCCUUUCAGAGGGGGACAGCAGUUGGAAACGACUGCUAAUACCGCAUAACGUGCCCGGGAGGCAUCUUCUGGGUACCAAAGAUUUAUCGCUCUAAGAUGGCCUCGCGUCUGAUUAGCUAGUUGGUAGGGUAACGGCCUACCAAGGCGACGAUCAGUAGCCGGACUGAGAGGUUGGCCGGCCACAUUGGGACUGAGAUACGGUCCAGACUCCUACGGGAGGCAGCAGUGGGGAAUAUUGGGCAAUGGGCGAAAGCCUGACCCAGCGACGCCGCGUGAAGGAAG